ensembl:lncRNA
CUUUUGACAAGUUUAAUGAGAGAGCAGAAACCUCUUCCCCAGGUGGAGCGCUCCGAGGUCAGCGCUGCUGUUGAACAGCUGGCUCAAGGCAGAACAGCAUGAAUUCAGCAACAUGAAUUUCUGCGUGGCCUGUGAACCACUGUUAGAGUGACAGAGAUGGAGUUUUGAGAGAUGUUGAACCUGGCACACUCUACCAGAUGGCAGGCUGGGAACACACAUCACCAGGAAAGCCAACAAAACAUCUCCAGAAGACAACCCUUAAAACUGUCAGUAGAAAAAGCUGUGACAAACAUUGUGCCAAUGACCCUAAAAUAACCAACAGCAUGUUGUGUGCUACAGGGAAAAGUAAAUUAUAUCCAAGCGAUGCUUAUGAGGGAGAUUCAGGUGGGCCAUUAAUCUGUGCUGGUCAGCACUGGGGGAUGGUUUCUUUUGGAGAAGAACAUGAAAAUUCAAGCAUACCUGGAGUUUCUACACAGCUGACUGAAGAAUUUAUUGACAGGAUAAAAAGAAACAUUUCCCAUGACAGAUCCAUGAAAGAGUCAAGAGCAUUUUAACAAAUACUGUGCUGUGCAUUAGAGCUGGGUCCUGCUGCUUUGAAACAUCUCCUUUGAAAUGUUCCUCCCAGCUCUACAGCUUUGCUGGCACCACCACAGCUUUAUGAGAACAGUUCAAAAUAUCCACAUUUAUACAGAUGACACCUUUACUAAUCUUUAGUAGGAGACUGCCACUUAGAAAACAUAAUUUGUAUUGGAUUCCACUCUACUUCUUACUGGGAUGGGAAAGUAUUCAUUGCACCUGGGAUAAAGCAAUAUUUGUUAAUGUGUAUGUACACAAGAGUUCCGUUUCAGACUGAAUGUGAAUGAGAUGUCUGCUGAACGAGAAAAAAUUGAAAAAAAAAAAAAAAGCUUAAAAUGUUAAAAUAUUUAUCUGUAAUUUUAUUAAACCCCAAAUACUUCAUUUUACCAUUAUUGAAUAUUUAUUUAUUUCUUUAUUUAUCUAAAUUCAAUUUCAAAGAGUUAAAAUAUUAAAUAGAGAGAAUAGAGAGUUUUUCCAACAGUCUUCAUUAUAAAAAUACAAAUAUAGAGAUAAAAAUAAUGUCUGUCCUUUUUUCCCUUGGGUUUUUUUGUUUGUUUGUUUGUUUUGGUUUUUUUUUUUUGUAGCUGUGCAUGUGGGGUUUUUUUUGGAGGUGGGAUGUUUGGUCUGGUUUUGUUUGUUUUUUUGGGUUUUGUUUUGUUUAGUUGAUCAAAUCAACUAGUCUUCCAGUUUGGCUCAUAAUCUCAUACUUUCAGUUAAUAGUUUACCCAAAAAGUAUAAAUCGUGAUUGUAAGAGAUGUAAUUAUAGUUCUUUAGCACAGCUCCUAUCUAACAUCUGUCAAAACAAGCAGGACUCUGGCUAUGGAUUUCAAGAGACUUCUGGUAACAGAAGGACCUGGUGUGUUUCUGAAGAAAUCUGUGGUUAGCUUGCUGUACUCCAUUACCUGCCAAAUAUUUUCUAGGCCUUUUUUUGAAGUGACCACCUUCAGGGUUUCUGUGCUUACUGCACUAACAUGUACC